AUUGAACGCUGGCGGCAGGCUUAACACAUGCAAGUCGAGCGGGGUGAUGGUGCUUGCACUAUCACUUAGCGGCGGACGGGUGAGUAAUGCUUAGGAAUCUGCCUAUUAGUGGGGGACAACAUCUCGAAAGGGAUGCUAAUACCGCAUACGUCCUACGGGAGAAAGCAGGGGAUCACUUGUGACCUUGUGCUAAUAGAUGAGCCUAAGUCGGAUUAGCUAGUUGGUGGGGUAAAGGCCUACCAAGGCGACGAUCUGUAGCGGGUCUGAGAGGAUGAUCCGCCACACUGGGACUGAGACACGGCCCAGACUCCUACGGGAGGCAGCAGUGGGGAAUAUUGGACAAUGGGGGGAACCCUGAUCCAGCCAUGCCGCGUGUGUGAAGAAGGCCUUAUGGUUGUAAGGCACUUUAAGCGAGGAGGAGGCUUACCUAGUUAAUACCUGGGAUAAGUGGACGUUACUCGCAGAAUAAGCACCGGCUAACUCUGUGCCAGCAGCCGCCGCCG
rnacentral:rRNA from 1 species